UCAAAAGAAUCUGCAUAAAAAUAUGCAUCAAAACACAUAAUGAAAUCUGGUUAAAUCAUAUUAGUAUAUAUAUUGUCGAUUUUCUAAUUCCCAAAAUCGAAACCAAAUAAAAAAAUUAAAGUGAAAUCCAAACCCAAACAAAAAAAAUUGAUUUUCUAAUUUCCAAAAUCGAAACCAAACUAAACCAUUAAAAAAAUGGACCAUGCUCUUUUUUUGUAUUGAUCAACUUUUCGUAGGGUUUUUCUUUGACUUAUGUACUUUGUGUAUACGUUGUUAUAUGAAAAAUUAUGAAGAUUAACUAAAUGGGCCGGGCCCACAGAAGAAGGUCUAUUUGGGCCAGGAGAGUCAAGAUCAACACGAUUUCGAAGUGACCCUGUCAAAAGAUAGGGCGCGCCCUAUCUUCUGGGCGCGCCCACUUGCUGAGGAUAGUUUGGUCCACUGUAAUUUAGAAGGGCAGAAGGAGAUGCUUCUUGUUUAGGGGGACGCCCUUGAACAUAAGUAGAUCCUACUGUUAAGUCGUUGAAGGCUCUACCUUGUAGUCUGAGGGGUUAUCCUCCUUGGGAGGUAGAGGAUAGAAGAGAAGACACACCCUGGAAGGUCCUAGCUCUGUAGUCUGGCGGGUUGUCCCUGUCGGGGAGUAGGGUAGUGUCCAUGCAUUUGGGGUAAGCUCUAGGGCUAGGCAUCAUCGUAUUGGGCCCCUUUCGGGAGGAAGAUUCUAGAAGGGGAGGCCCAGCCCACAUGGGUCUCUUAGGAGAAAGAACUACGUGCCGGCUUGAUCCCCUAUAAAUAGGGGUACGUAGGCAGAUUGUAAGCAUCGAUCAUUCUUGAGAGCUAUUCCAGUUAGCAAUCUCGAACCCUUUGCUUACAAUUGCAGCCACCUCCAUAACAAACAACCAACCAUCUCCUACAUUCUCGCCAACAGAAAUCUUGAUCCACGCCGCGAACCUCAUCUUUGUUAACCUACCAGUUUUCUCCGUUAACAAAUUGGCGCUAGAAGGAGGGGUAGUUCAAGAUUUUCCAUCAAGGAGAAAGAUGUCGAACCACGGCGAGACAACGCCCGGCGGGAACCAACCGCCCGAUCCCAGAUCGGGGGAGGCAAUAACACUCCCGUCGACGAUGCACCGGUCAGGGACACCCCCUAGGAACAAUCAAUUGUGAUAACAGAUGGAGACAACGUCAGUCGUAUGGCCGAUCGCCUAGUCGCCGCCAAUCAUGGUGAGUAACGAUGAAUUAUCUGAGAAGUCCGUUCAAAGGAGAAGGAGAAGACCGUUAUGAAGGAGAAGAUGGGUUUGAUGGAGAAGUAUGUUCAGAGGGUAAAGACGACGAUAAGCAUGGCUGUUUGUUAUCGAUAUUGAACAAGGCAAGGUUGUGAGGAUGAAAGAUGAAGGCAAGAUCGGAGCGAAGGUUCCAGAAGCCAACACAUGAGGGAAGCGUGACUUUCGGAUUUGAAGACUUUCUAAAGGCGUCGGAAGGAAGCAAGUCCUGCAGCUGACACAAUAGAUCGAAGCGUGCCUCCCCCUGACUGGGCACACUGUAAGGUAAAUAUUCUUCUUGAUACUUGUAUAAAUAUGUUGUGUUGGUUGUAUCUUUUUCAGGGAGGAAGUAUGUUAGGAGGUGCACCUCCUUCUAACAUGGCACAGACGCGCUUCACUUCAAUCUCAUAGAGGCACAGAUCAACCACACAAGCCAACAACAGACAUCGGCCAAUCCUCUCGCUUCAUCAUCAACUCAUGCUCUAUCAUCAAAUCUUGUUCCGUCGUCGAAUCUCCUUGCACCAUCAAAUCUUGCCACGUCAUCGAAUCUCCUUGCUCCGCCACCAAUCGACCUCAUAGCUACAGGGAGAAUCCCAUCUAUAACGCUUGUCCAACCUAAUAUCCAGAACAUUCCAGGGAUCGGUGCCGUCGACAUCAACACUCUCAGGAGGAUGUCUACAAGAAGGAGGAUUAGUAAUAACAAGAAGAGGAGACGAGAACAAUCUUCCAGCACCGAACAUAGAAGCAGACGACAAAAUCCAAGCAAAGACAAUAUUACCUAUAGAAGAAACUACACACCACCUCGGGACUAUGAUUGAAGAUCUAAUCAUUGGACACCUUUGGUUGCGUCAAUAGAACACAACAAAGGACUCUUCCGAAGACCAGCUCCGUUGUCUUCUUGGUAGGUGAGGGAAGUUCAUGAAGAAGUAUGUAACAAUCACUCGGGGGGUAGUUCACUUGCUCUAAAGAUCAUGAGACGAUGAUUCCAGUCGAGGUUGAAGCAAGUUCUUUAAGGAGACAACUUCGAGCAUGAGGCAAACGAAGUUAAUCGGAGGCUUCACCCCGAUAUGGUGGAAGAAGUCAGAAGCGAGUCACAGCUCAGGAAGCGGCAUAUUAACAGAGAACAACUCGAUUUUACAAUAAUAAGGUCAAGGCCAAGCCUUUAAAUGGGGGGACCUAGUGCAGGAUGAUGCCAUGGAUGGAAGUACCAAGUCAUGGAGUAUUUGGUGCUAACUGGGAAGGACCCUAUCAAAUCAGAUGUGGACUCUUUGGAGGGACACAUUGCUUGGAGCACUUGCAGGGAAAGCUCUUCUCGGAGGUAUAUAUUGUGGAGGAUUAUGAAAGAAGACAUAGGACAAGCUCCGAGGACAGGUCGAAGACACAGGCCGAAGACACAGGUCGAAGACGCAAGAUAAGCUCGAGGAUACAGGUUGAAGAUAGAAGACUCGGAACAAGUCUGAGGAUGCAGGUCGAAGACCGAAGAUCCAUGACAGGCUCCGAGAGGUAGGUCGGAAUCACAAGAUAAGUUCCGAGUACAGGUCAGAGAUCCCAGACAAGUUUCGGGAUACAGGUGAAAGACGCAGGACAAGCCUGAGGACACUAGUCGAAGACAAAAGAUCCUAGGACAAGCUCUAGUGUACAGGUCGGAGACCCAGGAUGAGCCGAUACAGAUCAAAGACGCGAGGCAAGCUCGAGAAUGUAGGUCGAUGAUCGAAAACCUUGGACAAAAUUCAAGACAAGAUCCUGGCACGUCCUCAGUCAAAGUUAAAAGUUUAAAGUCGACCACGUCAUUAAAAUAUCAAGAACAUUCAGUAUUCUUAUAGUCAAGUCGUCAGGGAUAUGCACCUUCAUUCUAAGAUAUACGGAAAUGAUAGAAAAAUAGAUCAAGGAGUCCACAUCUGCAAAAUAAAUAGGAAAAGACUGAGGAAAGGUCUCGUUAAACAUAAAAUAAACUAAGGUCACGGAGCUUCGCAACUCGGGCGCGCCUCGACCUAUUUUGGCUUUUAUAAACGCGCGUUGUGUCGUAAAGGUUGACUUAGGGAGAAGGUUGAUCAUAAAAGAUGAAGGCAUAGGCUUGCGGUCGUAUAAAAAAAAAGGAAGAAAAUAAGAAAAGGAUAAUUUCUUUGAAAGCAAAUGAAAGAAGCAAUGGAAGGCUUCCGCUGAAAAAAGAAAAAUAAUGCAAAGGGCGAGCCAACUUAUAAAGCAGGUCGCGCAAGAUCACAGUUGGUAAAUAGAAGGAGAAACUGGGUGGUGGAAUUUUGGUUGAAGUAACAUGCCAACAUUAAUGGUGAAAUGAUAUAAUUAUAUUACAUGAGAUAUGCGGGGACCACUAGAGGAUAAGACAAGAGUUACUAGAUUCAAUAAUGCAUGUGCAUUAAAGUGUGGUAUUAUGGUAAACAACGAAGUGUGCUAUGGGAAAAGAAAAAGAGAAUGAAAGAUUGCUACAUGGUGCAUUUAAAGAUGAACAAGCACAUGAUGGGACCCGCAUCAUUGAAAGCAAGAUUCAAGAAUUCAGUAGUGGGUUCUGCUUUCAAUGUAUAAAUAUAUAAACAAGAGUAAUGUUGUGUUUGGUUGGGGUGAAUGGAAUGGAAUGAGUAUAAAUAAAAGAAAAUAAUAGAGUGUAGGAGGGAGGACUUUGAAAAAAAUGAGUGAGGGCAAAUUUUGUAUGAUAAGAUUUGGGUAAAAAAUAGGUAUGAUAAGGAAUGGAGCAUUCCUUCACAAAAUGGAGGGCUUAAAAUCUAGUUAAAGGUGAUAGGAAUGGAAUGAUGGAAAUAAUGAAAUUAAUAUACAUUUAACUAAAUUAUAGUUCAAAUCUCAUUCCAUUCCCUCCAUUUUCAUUCACCUCAACCAAACACAACAUAAUGGAUUAACAGGAAUUACAGAAGAAAAGAAAAGAUGUCCUCGGAGGAGCCAAUAUUCGAGUUAAGGCGCGCCGUCUCUAUCAAAAACUAUUAUAUAACUGAAGGUCUGAAGAGAACUACUAUUAUUUUAUGAAAAUAAAAUGAAGUAUUUGCAUGUUGUUUCAUCGCGUACGUGACAAGAAAUGAAGACGCGCCAGGAACAAGCUUGACAAAAAAAACCGGGAUUCUCCACUCAACAUUCGAGACAGCCAAGACUACAGUCGAGCAGUCUUUAUUAAUCAUGUUAAUACUGAAAAGCGCGGCAUGAAGCACAUACAAGAAAAUGGCAAAGCAAAGUGUACGUAGGUUUUCAUGCAACAAUGCAGAAGGAUCCUACAUCCACGUCAUUUUUAUACUUGAGAGGCUGAGUAGAGAAUACACGUGGAGGACAGAUGAUGUAAGGAGGAGUUCACAGACUACGUUAUUUUUGCAUGACUGAUACGUGUCAAGGGCUUUCACAAAACAAAGAACAAAGAAAUAAUAACGAAAAAUGAGAGGGCGCGCCUACAUAAUUAAAAUUACAAGACGUCUUGGUUUUGAAAUCAACGAGUCGCAUUUUGUAAAUAGUCACUCAGCAAAUAAACUGAUCAAGGGCACGCCGUUCGUGAAUUUAUGCAUAACGGAAGGCACCCUUACAUGAAGAAGACAACAGGCUGUUAGAAGCAUGGGUCGCAUGAAGAAGCAAAGCUGAAGUGAUUUUGCAGAGUUAAGACAAAGCAGAACAAAAGAGGGGUGGAGGAGCCACAUGUUUCUCAACUAAGCGCGCCCUCAGAAAAUGUAAAGGCUUAGUGAUCUGUAGAGAUGGCGAUCAACGUCUUUACAAAAAGAAGAUAAAUUAGAAGUGAUGAUUAAUUAGAUUGAGUAAACGAAGUAGAGUCCAGAAGAACUUAUUUUGUACAAAUUGAAAAUGGGCAUGCAGCAUGACAAUGCGUGAUGGUGACAUCGAAUAUUAAAAAGAAAUAAAUGAACAAAAGUGGCGGUGGUCGUGUGGCAAGAAAAGAAACAACAUCUGUCAUAGUAAAAGAACAAGGUUUCGGAUGAUAUAAAGUUUCUGCUGAGACCAUCACUUGUGAGAUAAUUCUACAUGGACAAAUAAAGGAUUUGAGGUGGCAAGAACAGUUUGCAAAAUACAAGCAGCCAUCAAAAGCUUGAGACUUUACUAUUAACCUUGGCUACCGGACAAAACAAUCUAGGGCACGCCAUGCGUGCACUAUACUCAGCGACAAUUAACGAGAAAUAUGUCGUUGAACUGGACGAUGAAGACAUAAAUACUAAGCCAGGAAAAUACGAAAAGGAGUUGGGCGAGCCAGAUUUUUCUCAUUAGACGCGCCCUCCAUUAAAGAAAAAUAAAUUCAUUACCGCUAUAUGCAUGAAAGAAGUUAUUAUUAAAUAAUAAUAAACUGCGGAUUACAUGUUGACUAUGAUAUUGGUAGGCGUGCAAAGUGGUGGGCUGUGACGUUUGGAUAUGUGUACGUCAGUACAUGAGAUGAUGCUUGAUUAAAUCAUAUAAACAAAUAGUUGCUCGAAUAAGGCGCGUCUUGCAUAAACAAAGGUGGCAGACCGAGGAACAAGGAUAAGAGCCGAGAAAUUGAAAGGAAUUUGAGCAAAACAAAAUGGAGGUAGAUUUUUUCGAUGAGGCGCGCCCUCGAAUAAAGCUAAUUAGGAAACCUUCGUAGGUGAUCUACGAUAAGUAUUACUCACGAAAUAUCAUCGACAUCUAUAUAUAUAUUUCAUGUGCAAUAUCUGUUUUAAGUUUUAUGCAGGUUCUCUUGAAAUUCUCGAGAGGCGCGCCUUCCGUUAAUAGGUUGCGUCAUGAGAGACGAUCCAACACUCCAGUCUUCAAGAUUCAGAAUCAAUAUACGUCACAACACAUCUUCGCAACACUGUCUUCUCUAACCUACAUCUUCAAGACAAGUCGGAACCGGGGGUAGUAGUUGUUGCACCCACAAUCCGGAACUGAGAUCCUAGUCAACAACAAUUGGAAGAAUUUGCUUCACCAUCAGGACGCGCCUUAUCCUCAUCUAAGACAUGGUAGAAUGCACGCUCAUCUUCAUCUCCCCUUCAGUCUCGGCUUCCGCGGCCUCAUCUUCAUCGACUCAUCCUCGACUUCCGCGGCCUCAUCCGUCAAGCAAACACUGCCUUCACCUCCGUCAAACAGAAUCAUCAUCAUCUUCAAACAACUUCUUCAACGUCGGUUUCAGAGGAAUCCCCUUCAACAUAUGGCGCGCCUAGUUAAAGAACUUCAACAUCUUCUGCAUCAACGACGAACAACCAAGAUAGAACAUCUCAGGGGAUGAAGGACAUCAAGAUCUCGUCGACAUUUUCAAUGCCACCAAGAUCUGGGGGGUAGUUGUUAUAUGAAAAAUUAUGAAGAUUAACUAAAUGGGCCGGGCCCACAGAAGAAGGUCUAUUUGGGCCAGGAGAGUCAAGAUCAACACGAUUUCGAAGUGACCCUGUCAAAAGAUAGGGCGCGCCCUAUCUUCUGGGCGCGCCCACUUGCUGAGGAUAGUUUGGUCCACUGUAAUUUAGAAGGGCAGAAGGAGAUGCUUCUUGUUUAGGGGGACGCCCUUGAACAUAAGUAGAUCCUACUGUUAAGUCGUUGAAGGCUCUACCUUGUAGUUUGAGGGGUUAUCCUCCUUGGGAGGUAGAGGAUAGAAGAGAAGACACACCCUGGAAGGUCCUAUCUCUGUAGUCUGGCGGGUUGUCCCUGUCGGGGAGUAGGGUAGUGUCCAUGCAUUUGGGGUAAGCUCUAGGGCUAGGCCUCAUCGUAUUGGGCCCCUUUCGGGAGGAAGAUUCUAGAAGGGGAGGCCCAGCCCACAUGGGUCUCUUAGGAGAAAGAACUACGUGCCGGCUUGAUCCCCUAUAAAUAGGGGUACGUAGGCAGAUUGUAAGCAUCGAUCAUUCUUGAGAGCUAUUCCAGUUAGCAAUCUCGAACCCUUUGCUUACAAUUGCAGCCACCUCCAUAACAAACAACCAACCAUCUCCUACAUUCUCGCCAACAGAAAUCUUGAUCCACGCCGCGAACCUCAUCUUUGUUAACCUA
rnacentral:lncRNA from 1 species